rnacentral:rRNA from 1 species
GACGAACGCUGGCGGCGUGCCUAAUACAUGCAAGUAGAACGCACAGUUUAUACCGUAGCUUGCUACACCAUAAACUGUGAGUUGCGAACGGGUGAGUAACGCGUAGGUAACCUGCCUGGUAGCGGGGGAUAACUAUUGGAAACGAUAGCUAAUACCGCAUAAUAUUGAUUAUUGCAUGAUAAUUGAUUGAAAGAUGCUAUUGCAUCACUACCAGAUGGACCUGCGUUGUAUUAGCUAGUAGGUGAGGUAACGGCUCACCUAGGCGACGAUACAUAGCCGACCUGAGAGGGUGAUCGGCCACACUGGGACUGAGGCACGGCCCAGACUCCUACGGGAGGCAGCAGUAGGGAAUCUUCGGAAAUGGACGAAAGUCUGACCGAGCAACGCCGCGUGAGUGAAGAAGGUUUUCGGAUCGUAAAGCUCUGUUGUAAGAGAAGAACGGGUGUGAGAGUGGAAAGUUCACACUGUGACGGUAUCUUACCAGAAAGGGACGGCUAACUACGUG